rnacentral:rRNA from 1 species
AGAGUUUGAUCAUGGCUCAGGAUGAACGCUGGCGGCGUGCCUAACACAUGCAAGUCGAGCGGUAGAUAUUGGAACGACAUUUCGAUAGAGUGAAGAUAUUGAGAGCGGCGGACGGGUGAGUAACGCGUAGGCAACCUGCCCCAUACAGAGGGAUAGCCUCGGGAAACCGGGAUUAAAACCUCAUAACGCGAAGAAGUCACAUGGCUUUUUCGCCAAAGAUUUAUCGGUAUGGGAUGGGCCUGCGUCUGAUUAGCUAGUUGGUAAGGUAACGGCUUACCAAGGCAACGAUCAGUAGCCGACCUGAGAGGGUAAUCGGCCACAUUGGAACUGAGACACGGUCCAAACUCCUACGGGAGGCAGCAGUGGGGAAUAUUGCACAAUGGGCGAAAGCCUGAUGCAGCAACGCCGCGUGAGCGAUGAAGGCCUUUGGGUCGUAAAGCUCUGUCCUUGGGGAAGAAAAAAAUGACGGUACCCUUGGAGGAAGCCCCGGCUAACUACGUGCCAGCAGCCGCGGUAAUACGUAGGGGGCAAGCGUUAUCCGGAAUUAUUGGGCGUAAAGAGUGCGUAGGUGGUUUUGUAAGCGCGGGGUGAAAGGCUAUGGCUCAACCAUAGUAAGCCUUGCGAACUGCAAGACUUGAGUGCAGGAGAGGAAAGUGGAAUUCCUAGUGUAGCGGUGAAAUGCGUAGAUAUUAGGAGGAACACCAGUGGCGAAGGCGACUUUCUGGACUGUAACUGACACUGAGGCACGAAAGCGUGGGGAGCAAACAGGAUUAGAUACCCUGGUAGUCCACGCCGUAAACGAUGAGCACUAGUGUCCGGGCUCAUGAGCUUGGUGGCGCAGCUAACGCAUUAAGUUAUCCGCCUGGGGAGUACGGUCGCAAGAUAAAACUCAAAGGAAUUGAC